CACUUUGAAAUAAAAGCUCUAAGAUUCUCUCUCUCACACACACAUACACACACAGUGUCUGGAUACUGUAAUGAUUAAUAAAAACAUUGUUUCUAAGGUUACCAUCCACGAGUUUCAAGUCAAGCUUAAAGCCACAAAGCUAAAAAAAUAAAAAAGAAGAAGAAGAAGUGACCAUUAUUUAACGCAUGCGUACUGACGUCAAACCGGGGAACUUAUUUAUCUGGCACACCUGUUCCUCUGUAUAGACGUGAUCUAGCUUCAGGAAGAACAGCUCAGCAGGAGGGAGUAUCGAUCUGCCAUCAGCAUGAAUCCCAACUAUCCAUAUGGUGCUUAUCCUCCAUUCCAAGGCCCAACCCCAUGCCCUCCACCACCACAGCCAGGAAUGCCAGUUCCCUGUAUUCCACCGAUGAAUCCAGGCUGUGUUCCUCCACAACCUGGGCCUCAUCAUGGGCAUCAUCACGGCCAUGGGCAUCAUGGGCAGCAUGGCCAUGGGCACCACGGCCAUGGGCACCACCAUGGCCAUGGGCAUCAUGGUCAUGGGCAUCACCAUGGGCAUUGCUAGCAUGGCAAAAACUAAAAUUCUUGGACCCAUAGCAGCCACUGCAGUUUUUCGUGAUUGAAGAGUGCAUGAAGACCCACUUCAGAUGAAACACUUGCUGUUCUUCUUUUACCCUCUGUCAAAUAUCUUACUAUAAUUUUACUGACUCAUUAAAAAUGCAUAGCAUGAAUAAAGUCUAUUAAACUAAAAAGAAUUGCAUAAGAGGAUUUAUUUCCUAAUGUAUUCAGCAACAGUGUUGUUUCUUCAUGCCAGUAAACCCUUUUAACCCUUGCAUACCUUCAGUGUAAAUUUUACUCCAUUUUUUUUGGAAACUUAAAUUGAAGUUUUGUUUUUUUUCC